CCCCUCAAGUGGAGGCCCUUAGAGCGUUUCAGUCCCCUUACUAACUGUGUGUGCAAAUUGGCCCCCGAACUCAAAAAAACGGUGCAGAUCGGCCCCUCUGACUUAACACCGUUAUGGGCCGUUAGUCAAGGGGGCGAUCUGCACCAUUUUUUCGGAGUUCAGGGGCUAAUCUGCACCUUUUAACUUUUUAAUUAAUUCAUCUCUCUCGCUCAAAAUUUGAUCGUCGUUGUCGCUGAUUCAAGCUCCGGCGAGGCCGGCGGAGGGCGCCGCCCCUUUCUUUCUCUCUUGGGCCCUAAACCUCGGAGCU
rnacentral:lncRNA from 1 species